CGCGUAUUCGUGUAGUUCGCGAACACCGGAUUUUCCGGAUUCGUGAUGUCAUAGGUCAUGACUCCGCCAACCCGUUCAAGACCGAUAAACGCGA
rnacentral:tRNA from 2 species